CCUACGGGCGGCAGCAGUGAGGAAUAUUGGUCAAUGGACGAGAGUCUGAACCAGCCAAGUAGCGUGAAGGAUGACUGCCCUAUGGGUUGUAAACUUCUUUUAUAUGGGAAUAAAAUGUUCCACGUGUGGGAUUUUGUAUGUACCAUAUGAAUAAGGAUCGGCGAACUCCGUGCCAGCAGCCGCGGUAAUACGGAGGAGCCGAGCGUUAUCCGGAUUUAUUGGGUUUAAAGGGAGCGUAGGUGGAUUGUUAAGUCAGUUGUGAAAGUUUGCGGCUCAACCGUAAAAUUGCAGUUGAAACUAGCAGUCUUGAGUACAGUAGAGGUGGGCGGAAUUCGUGGUGUAGCGGUGAAAUGCUUAGAUAUCACGAAGAACUCCGAUUGCGAAGGCAGUUCACUGGACUGCAACUGACACUGAGGCUCGAAAGUGUGGGUAUCAAACAGGAUUAGAUACCCGAGUAGUC
rnacentral:rRNA from 1 species